rnacentral:lncRNA from 1 species
CCGCCGAGUGUCGCACCAUCCCGCGCCCCCCGAAGCCCCACCCGUACGACCCCGCCGUCGCGCUCGUCGCCAGCCCGGUCGACCCCGCCCGUUUCCACCUCGUCUGCGCCCUCGACGCCCCCGGCGGCGGCUACCGCUUCGAGAUCUUCUCUUCCGUCUCGGGCGCCUGGCGGCAGGCGUCCGCCGUGGCCGCUUCCGCAGAUCCCAUCGUCCCCGGCUCCGGUGUCUCAGCUGCCGGAGCGGCGUACUGGCGGACGUCCACCCCCGCGGUUCUCGCCUACGAC